ensembl:lncRNA novel transcript
ACAGCAUGCUCUUAGCCUUCCUGAGCACCUUCCCUUUUUUCAGCCAACUGCUCGCUCGCUCACCUCCCUCCUUGGCACGAUGAGCACCUGCAGCCACCAGUUCACCUCCUCCAGAUCCAUGAAGGGCUCCUGCAGCAUCGGGGGCAGCAUCGGGGGCGGCUCCAGCCGCAUCUCCUCUGUCCUGGCCGGAGGGUCCUGCCAUGCCCCCAGCACCUACGGGGGGGCCUGUGUGUCUCCUUCUCUCGCUUCUCCUUUGGGGGAGCCUGCGGGCUGGGGGGCGGCUAUGGCGGUGGCUUCGGCAGCAGCAGCAGCUUUGCUAGUGGCUUUGGGGGAGGAUAUGGUGGUGGCCUUGGUGCUGGCUUCGGUGGUGGCUUGGGUGCUGGCUUGGGUGGUGGCUUUGCUGGUGUGAAGAUCCGUGACUGGUACCAGAGGCAGCGGCCCAGUGAGAUCAAAGACUAUAGUCCCUACUUCAAGACCAUCGAGGACCUGAGGCACAAGAUCAUUGCGGCCACCAUUGAGAAUGCGCAGCCCAUUUUGCAGAUUGACAAUGCCAGGCUGGCAGCUG